UACAGAGGGGGCAAGCGUUGUUCGGAAUUACUGGGCGUAAAGGGCGCGUAGGCGGCUUGUUAAGUCGAACGUGAAAUCCCCGGGCUCAACCCGGGAACUGCGUCCGAUACUGGCAGGCUUGAAUCCGGGAGAGGGAUGCGGAAUUCCAGGUGUAGCGGUGAAAUGCGUAGAUAUCAGGAGGAACACCAAUGGCGAAGGCAGCUCGCUGGGACGGUACUGACGCUGAGGCGCGAAAGCUAGGGGAGCAAACGGG
rnacentral:rRNA from 1 species